GAAAUCAUCCUGCAUAUGCUAUUUUGGCUGUAUAAUGAUUGUUCAUUACAUGAAUUAAAACAGUUUUAUAGAGCCUGAAGUUGCUAAAGAAAAGGACCCUCAACCGGCACCAAAAAUAGCACCUGAAAUAAUCAAAGAAAAGACAAAGCCAGCACCAAAGAAAGAGGCUGAAGUCAUCAAAGAGAAAGCUAAACCAACUCCUGAAAAGAAAGAGCAUGAAGUUCAUAAAGAAAAGGCACCUGAACCAAUGCCAGAACCUACAAAGAAAGGUAUUAAUAUAUGUAGCGUAAUCAGUGUUUAUCAUUUGCACAUUUGAAUAGGUAUCUGAAU
rnacentral:lncRNA from 1 species